CACAGAACCUGAAGAACAAGAAGAACAGCAGGUCAUUGACAGAGUGCAGACAAACACCAUGCCAGCAAACACAAAAGGCAGAUGGUCAGAGGAUGAAGUUGAUUGGAUCAUGGCUGGCAUCAAACUGACUGCAAGGAAUGCCUAUAAAGAGUACCUGAAAAAAUGCAAAGAGUUUGUGAGACCCGCAAGAACAUUUGCUGCUUUCAGAAGAAAGAGAGAGAGGAUGAUUGAGGCAUUUGGACCAGCAGACUAAUUCACGUGGAAGACAAUUUAAAUGUGUUUCGUUGAACGAAAAAGGCCAACCAACACCCUUACUAAACCCAACAUUUUGGAGGAAUAUCCCUAUUUCUUGAUUUUUUAUUAUGUUUUCCUUAAAUUUAUUGGGUGACAUCUUAUUUUUUGGUUCAUUUGAACUGGCUUUAAACUAAUCAUGACUCAU